AGAGUUUGAUCCUGGCUCAGAUUGAACGCUGGCGGCAGGCCUAACACAUGCAAGUCGAGCGGAUGAUGGGAGCUUGCUCCCGGAUUCAGCGGCGGACGGGUGAGUAAUGCCUAGGAAUCUGCCUGGUAGUGGGGGACAACGUUUCGAAAGGAACGCUAAUACCGCAUACGUCCUACGGGAGAAAGCAGGGGACCUUCGGGCCUUGCGCUAUCAGAUGAGCCUAGGUCGGAUUAGCUAGUUGGUGGGGUAAAGGCCUACCAAGGCGACGAUCCGUAACUGGUCUGAGAGGAUGAUCAGUCACACUGGAACUGAGACACGGUCCAGACUCCUACGGGAGGCAGCAGUGGGGAAUAUUGGACAAUGGGCGAAAGCCUGAUCCAGCCAUGCCGCGUGUGUGAAGAAGGUCUUCGGAUUGUAAAGCACUUUAAGUUGGGAGGAAGGGCAGUAAGUUAAUACCUUGCUGUNUUGACGUUACCAACAGAAUAAGCACCGGCUAACUUCGUGCCAGCAGCCGCGGUAAUACGAAGGGUGNCAGCGUUAAUCGGAAUUACUGGGCGUAAAGCGCGCGUAGGUGGUUUGGUAAGAUGGAUGUGAAAUCCCCGGGCUCCAACUGGGAACUGCAUCCAUAACUGCCUGACUAGAGUACGGUAGAGGGUGGUGGAAUUUCCUGUG
rnacentral:rRNA from 1 species